rnacentral:lncRNA from 12 species
GGGUGGGGGUGGGUGUCUCCUUGAGACUGGGGGUUUUUUGUCUUAAAUUGCAUUUUGGUCAAAAUGGGGACUGGCCCUCCUAAUUUUGAAGAAUUCGAAGUAUUUGCAGGCUGAGCUGGGAUGGGUGGGGGUGGGGACUGGGGACGGUGUUAUCCGCUGGACGCCUUCAGCAAUUGUGAACUGUGCUUCCCUGGAACUCAUUCCCCAGUUAGGGCUCUGUGGGAGCAUUCUGAGUUCCGGAACCUUCCUUGGAGGGCCUGUCUCCUAUCGGCUGUUGGGGACAUGGAGACUCCUGGAUGUAUAAAAAAGGGUUUUCGCUGGGAAUUUACAGUGAUCAAAGUCUUUCCUGAGGUCGGGGACCAUGUUUCAGGCUGGGGAGAUGGAUCUGACUUGAGGUCAGCUCACAUUUUGAUGUCUAAUUGCCAGCAAUCCCCAGCACAGAUCGGGAACACGCAGAGAAAUUGGCCUCCAGGAGUGAGAGAGAGAAGCUGGUGA